GUCGAACGGCAGCAUGGCUGUAGCAAUACAGCUGAUGGCGAGUGGCGGACGGGUGAGUAAUGCAUAGGAACUUGCCUUGGAGAGGGGGAUAACUUGGGGAAACUCAAGCUAAUACCGCGUAAUAUCUACGGAUUAAAGUCGCUUUACAGCGACGCUCCAAGAGAGGCCUAUGUCUGAUUAGCUAGUUGGUGGGGUAAAGGCCUACCAAGGCGAAGAUCAGUAGCUGUUCUGAGAGGAAGAUCAGCCACACUGGGACUGAGACACGGCCCAGACUCCUACGGGAGGCAGCAGUGGGGAAUAUUGGACAAUGGGGGCAACCCUGAUCCAGCGAUGCCGCGUGAGUGAAGAAGGCCUUCGGGUUGUAAAGCUCUUUAGUCAGGAAAGAAAGGUUGGCGAGGAAAUGCGCCAACCGUGACGGUACCUGAAGAAUAAGCACCGGCUAACUCUGUGCCAGCAGCCGCGGUAAUACAGAGGGUGCGAGCGUUAAUCGGAAUUACUGGGCGUAAAGAGCGCGUAGGUGGUUUGGUAGGUUGAAUGUGAAAUACCUGGGCUUAACCCGGGGGCUGCAUUCAAAACGGCCAAGCUAGAGUGUUGGAGAGGGAAGUAGAAUUUCUGGUGUAGCGGUGAAAUGCGUAGAUAUCAGAAAGAAUGACAGUGGCGAAGGCGACUUCCUGGCCAAAUACUGACACUGAGGCGCGAA
rnacentral:rRNA from 1 species